AUGACAAAAAGUAUUAGUCUUUAUGAAGUUUUUGAGUUGCCAUUAAACUUUAGUGAUAAAAUUGGAGAAGGAUUUUCUGCAAAUAUCUUUAAUUUGCCUUUAAGAAAUAAGCAAACAGCAGUAAAAGUAAUAAAGACACAGUUUUCGCAACGCAAAAUUGUUUCUAUUGCAACUAAACUCAGGCAGUUAAAACACAAAAACAUUGUAAAGUUUAAAGGCUAUUCCAUAAGACCAACUGCCCUUAUAUUUGAGUUAUGCUGUUUAGAUAUUUCCAAUAAUCAGGUAUCAAGUUUGUCCCAACUAAUUUCUCAUUUAAAUGAAGAAAACAAUUUUUCUUUUUCCCAGAGAUUGAAUUUUAUCCAUCAGUCAUCAAAUGGUAUUAUGUACUUACAUGAAUGUGGGAUUAUUCAUAGAGACAUUAAACCUUCUAAUCUACUUGUUACUGGUACUUCAAAAGAUAUAAUAAUUAAAGUUAGUGAUUUUGAUGAUUUUGUAGACAUUAAAGAAACAAUAGCUUUGACUAUGACAAAACAAAAUAUAAAUGGCAUGACUUUAGCUUAUACAUCUCCUGAAAUUAUUAAAUGUGAAGUUAAAGCUCCAAAUGAAAAAUCGAAUAUCUAUGAAUUUGCAAUCACUGCAUUUGAGAUAAUUAGUAAUUUUUCAUCAGCUUGGCAUGGCAUUAUUCCUGUUCUAAAAGAUAUUCUUUUAAUGAAUGCUGUAGUAUCUGGUAAACGACCAAAUGUUAAUCACCUGUUAACACUUUAUGGUAAAGAAAAUAUAAAUGUCCAUAAAUUUAUAAGUUUCAUUCAACAAGGUUGGGGAGAUAAUCCUUCUUUGCGACCAACUAUUUCUGUGGAUAUCACGAGUGACAACUGCUUUGAAACUGAAGAAGAUACAGAAUCAACAGUUUUUAGUUAUGUUGGAGAUUUUAAUGGUCAUAGAUCAGUUUUAGACUUGUCUUUUGACCAAUUUUAUUCACUUGAAAUGUAUCCAGCUUUAUCUGAAACUUUCGGUCAAUUAUACAAAACUUCUUCAGUUUGUAGUGAAACUAGUGUUGAUUUUGUGGUAAAUAAAGGUCUACCGAAUCAGAUAGAUGUCGAAAAUGACUCUGCACUUUGUCUUGACUCAGAUAUUAGUAUAAUAGAGACAGAUAUUAGUUUCAACAAUCAAACCAAUCAAGAAAUUUUCACUAAUUUAGAAGCUAUUACAAAACAAAAUAAGAAAAAGAAACCCUACAGAUUUUGUAUUUUUUGUAAAAAGUACUCGUCUUAUUUAAAACGCCACAUAAAAACAAAGCAUAAAAAUGAACCUGAUAUUUUUAAAGCAUUGUCUUUGCCUAAGGAGGAACAACGAUUUGUUUUUCAAAAGCUAAAAAGACAAGGAAUUUUUGAAAUUAACCAGAUAGAGGCUAGAAAAGAGAAUCCACAAUAUGAAAGAGAACGCUCAGCUAAAGUUGAAAGUGGUAUAAGUUAUUGCAGCAAAUGCUUAAUGUUUGCCUCUAGAAGAUAUUGGCAUAGCCAUGUCAAAAGGUGUCAAAAAAAUUCUUGCUAAACAAUUAUUCCUAUACCUGUAAGAGUCUUACAGGUUCCAGACAAUGUAAAUAUUAGUGAAGCUUUUCGCACAAAAAUUUUGGCAACAUUUAAAACUGAUAAUAUAGGACAGAUUUGUUGCUCAGACCCUAUGAUACUGAGUAUUGGGAGUAUGUUUUUUAAUAAAGAAAAGCGUAAGUUCGGAAAAGCUAUCGCUGUCAGAAACUCAGUAUGUACUGAUAUGAGACGAUUGGCGAACUUGUAUGUUAUAUUUCUGCAACAAAAACAAGUAACAAUAAUUUUUAAAAGUCUUCACGAUAUGUUCACUUGUGUUAAUUUUUAUGCUUUGAGAGAGGCAAUAGAGAUAUAUACUACAUCCGAUACUUUUACUUUAAAAGCAGGAUUAAAGCAAAAUUUAUUUUAUUUACUUAAACGCUCAGCAAAAGUAUUGAAAGGUUUAUUUCUGGCUCAAGGUCAAGAUAUUCUUUCCAGUGAAAUUGAUAAAUUUGUAAGCAUUCUUGAAAUGUGGGAAGACUACAUAUUCGGUGAUGCUACCUAUGAACUGAACAAAAAUAAAAAUAUAAAAUUGCGAAAACCAUCACAGUUACCUGAUGAAGAAGAUAUAUAUGCGUUUAGACAGCAUAUUUUAAAAAGAAUAAAAGACCUUACAGACGAGUCUUAUGAUUUUUUUGAUAUAUCAAGUUUUGUUGAGCUGCGAGACUGUGCAUGUGCAAGAUUGACUUUGUUAAAUAGGCGAAGAGGUUUGGUUUUGAAUCUUUUUUGUGAAAAUUCUCGAUUGCAAAUUGAUAAGUACAAUGAUGCAGUUAAUGAUUCAUGGAUUGACAAUCAAAGACUUUCUGAACUUGAUGAAAUGGAUCAAAGAUUAGUAUCUCAAAAUAACUUACAUGUGUGGAAAAGGCAAUAACCAUUUGGUCCCAAUUCUUAUUCCACCAGAUACUAUGCCAGCGUUAAAAAAACUGGCUGAUCCUAAUGUACGUAGUUUUGUUAAUGUUUUAAAGAGUAACACUUUUUUAUUUGCUGGGACAAAAUUAUCUGAAGGGCACACUUCAGGAUGGCAUGCAGUUCAUAAUAUUAUAAAUAAUCUUAAGUUAAAGAAGCCCGAAAAUAUAAAAGCGACUUCGAACCGUCAUCGUGUUAGUACUCUUUUCUCAGCUCUAGAUUUGCCAAAAAAAGACAAGGAGUUGUUUUACAAACACAUGGGUCAAUCAGCUGCUGUCAAUGAAGGCACUUAUCAAGUUCCUCCUGCCUUAAUGGAAAUUGUUAAAGUUGGAAAACAUCUUCUAAACUUUGAUUUGUCAAAAACAGUUGCUAAAAACCAAACAAACAAAAAAAGAAGAAAAGAAAAGAAAUGUGGUCACUUGGAUUCGGAAACCAUCAUGGAAUGUUCUUCUGACACCAACAUGGAAUGUUCUUCUGACGAAUGUUUUGACCCUUUAAAAGAAAUUAGUUCUGUAUCAGACGACGAAGAAUUAAAAUCAGGUAUAUUUUAG
rnacentral:lncRNA from 1 species